rnacentral:rRNA from 1 species
GUGGGGAAUAUUGGACAAUGGGGGGAACCCUGAUCCAGCCAUGCCGCGUGUGUGAAGAAGGCCUUUUGGUUGUAAAGCACUUUAAGCGAGGAGGAGGCUACCGAGAUUAAUACUCUUGGAUAGUGGACGUUACUCGCAGAAUAAGCACCGGCUAACUCUGUGCCAGCAGCCGCGGUAAUACAGAGGGUGCAAGCGUUAAUCGGAUUUACGGGGCAUAAAGCGCGAGUAGGUGGCCAAUUAAGUCAAAUGUGAAAUCCCCGAGCUUAACUUGGGAAUUGCAUUCGAUACUGGUUGGCUAGAGUAUGGGAGAGGAUGGUAGAAUUCCAGGUGUAGCGGUGAAAUGCGUAGAGAUCUGGAGGAAUACCGAUGGCGAAGGCAGCCAUCUGGCCUAAUACUGACACUGAGGUGCGAAAGCAUGGGGAGCAAACAGGAUUAGAUACCCGGGUAGUCC